CGUUGAGGCGGGUCUGUAAGUUGGACGUGAAAGCUCCUGGCCUAACUGGGAGAGGUCGUUCAAUACUGCAGGGCUUGAGGACAGCAGAGGGGGGUGGAAUUCCCGGUGUAGUGGUGAAAUGCGUAGAUACCGGGAGGAACACUAGUGGCGAAGGCGGCCCCCCUGGGCUGCUCCUGACGCUGAAGGCGAAAGCUAGGGGAGCAAACG
rnacentral:rRNA from 1 species